UACGGAGGGUGCGAGCGUUGUCCGGAAUCACUGGGCGUAAAGGGCGCGUAGGCGGCUUGGGAAGUCCGUGGUGAAAGCCCGAGGCUCAACUUCGGGUCGGCCAUGGACUACUCCUAAGCUCGAGUCGACUAGAGGCUAAUGGAAUUCCGGGUGUAGCGGUGGAAUGCGUAGAGAUCCGGAAGAACACCGGUGGCGAAGGCGGGUUCAGCUGGG
rnacentral:rRNA from 1 species